GCUGCAUUUUCAACCAGAGAUUUUUUAAUUUAUAGCAAUCCCACCAAAUAUGUCUAAAAUUGCCUCUAAUACUAUUGCAUCUCCAACAGAUAGGAUUUACUAGAGGGUAAAUUUUAUUCAAUUUAGCUGGUACUAAGUACCACCUAUUUAAAACUUUAAAGUGCGUUUCUAAUAAAUUUAAUGAAUGUAUAUUCUUCUUAACAUCCAUCAU